GAUGAACGCUGGCGGCGUGCCUAAUACAUGCAAGUCGAGCGAACAGAUGAGGAGCUUGCUCGUCUGACGUUAGCGGCGGACGGGUGAGUAACACGUGGAUAACCUACCUAUAAGACUGGGAUAACUUCGGGAAACCGGAGCUAAUACCGGAUAAUAUAUUGAACCGCAUGGUUCAAUAGUGAAAGACGGUUUUGCUGUCACUUAUAGAUGGAUCCGCGCCGCAUUAGCUAGUUGGUAAGGUAACGGCUUACCAAGGCAACGAUGCGUAGCCGACCUGAGAGGGUGAUCGGCCACACUGGAACUGAGACACGGUCCAGACUCCUACGGGAGGCAGCAGUAGGGAAUCUUCCGCAAAGGGCGAAAGCCUGACGGAGCAACGCCGCGUGAGUGAUGAAGGUCUUCGGAUCGUAAAACUCUGUUAUUAGGGAAGAACAAAUGUGUAAGUAACUAUGCACGUCUUGACGGUACCUAAUCAGAAAGCCACGGCUAACUACGUG
rnacentral:rRNA from 1 species